GACGAACGCUGGCGGCGUGCUUAACACAUGCAAGUCGAACGGAAAGGCCCUGCUUUUGUGGGGUGCUCGAGUGGCGAACGGGUGCGUAACACGUGAGUAACCUGCCCUUGACUUUGGGAUAACUUCAGGAAACUGGGGCUAAUACAGGAUAGGAGAUCCUGCUGCAUGGUGGGGGUUGGAAAGUUUCGGCGGUUGGGGAUGGACUCGCGGCUUAUCAGCUUGUUGGUGGGGUAGUGGCUUACCAAGGCUUUGACGGGUAGCCGGCCUGAGAGGGUGACCGGCCACAUUGGGACUGAGAUACGGCCCAGACUCCUACGGGAGGCAGCAGUGGGGAAUAUUGCACAAUGGGCGGAAGCCUGAUGCAGCAACGCCGCGUGCGGGAUGACGGCCUUCGGGUUGUAAACCGCUUUCGCCUGUGACGAAGCGGGAGUGACGGUAAUGGGUAAAGAAGCACCGGCUAACUACGUG
rnacentral:rRNA from 1 species